rnacentral:rRNA from 1 species
GACGAACGCUGGCGGCGUGCUUAACACAUGCAAGUCGAACGGAAAGGCCUGCUUUCCCUUGUGGAUUGCGGGUACUCGAGUGGCGAACGGGUGAGUAACACGUGAGUGAUCUGCCCCCAACUUGGGUAUAAGCCUGGGAAACUGGGUCUAAUUCCCGAUAGGACUGCAGGGUGGUGCCUGUGGUGGAAAACGAUUUUCUAGUGGUUGGGGAUGAGCUCGCGGCCUAUCAGCUUGUUGGUGGGGUAAUGGCCUACCAAGGCGGCGACGGGUAGCCGGCCUGGGAGGGUGGACGGCCACAUUGGGACUGAAAUACGGCCCAGACUCCUACGGGAGGCAGCAGUGGGGAAUAUUGCACAAUGGGCGGAAGCCUGAUGCAGCGACGCCGCGUGGGGGAUGACGGCCUUCGGGUUGUAAACUCCUUUCGACCGCGAGGAAGCCACCUGGUUGGAAGGGUGGUGACGGUAGUGGUAGAAGAAGCACCGGCUAACUACGU